rfam:Gossypium raimondii Chr01_contig_296, whole genome shotgun sequence.
UAUUAAAAAAUUUAUCUAUUUGUACUAUUAAAAACUAGUGUGGACAAUGACAUGUCAUAUAUCAUGUGUACUUCAUAUUGACGUACAAAAAAUAAUUUUUAAUGGUAGAAAUGGAUGAAAUUUUUAACA